AGUCCUACGGGGGGCAGCAGUGGGGAAUAUUGCACAAUGGGGGAAACCCUGAUGCAGCAACGCCGCGUGAGUGAUGACGGCCUUCGGGUUGUAAAGCUCUGUCUUCAAGGACGAUAAUGACGGUACCUGAGGAGGAAGCCACGGCUAACUACGUGCCAGCAGCCGCGGUAAUACGUAGGUGGCGAGCGUUGUCCGGAUUUACUGGGCGUAAAGGGGGCGUAGGCGGAUUUUUAAGUGAGAGGUGAAAUACUCGGGCUCAACUUGAGUGCGGCAUUGCAAACUGGAAGUC
rnacentral:rRNA from 1 species